rnacentral:rRNA from 1 species
UACGUAGGGUGCGAGCGUUAAUCGGAAUUACUGGGCGUAAAGCGUGCGCAGGCGGUUCGUUGUGUCGGUGGUGAAAGCCCCGGGCUUAACCUGGGAAUGGCCAUGGAAACUGGCGAACUGGAGUGUGGCAGAGGGGGGUGGAAUUCCGCGUGUAGCAGUGAAAUGCGUAGAGAUGCGGAGGAACACCGAUGGCGAAGGCAGCCCCCUGGGCUAGCACUGACGCUCAGGCACGAAAGCGUGGGGGGCAAACAGG